AGUCUCAGAGAAGCCCUGUACAUCUGUGCUCCUGGGUUUUGAGCUCCAUCAGAAAUGAUAAGUGAGAGUACUGUGGCAGCAGCUGAAACUAAAGUUUAUCCAGACCUAGCCUUGUAGGUGCUUGUUUUACCUGCUUCAAAACUGAGUGCUCUGGCUCCAGAGUCCAGAUGCAUCCAGAUCUGGAGGCCCCAAACUGGUAUAUGUAGGGAAGACAGGACAUGAUAUCUUGGAUUUGCUACAGGAAGAUAUAGCCACAGCUGGAUAUAGCACCCAAAGUGAAGAGACAGAGGAAGAAAUAAUUUGGCUUCUUCCUACAUCCUGCCUCCAAUAUUCCACUGGAGCCUCCCUUUGGCUGAAACUGAUUGGAAGUCAGUGGGUAAAAAUUCCUGGGAAAUGUGGUUUGUACAGCAAGCUCCUUUUGGAGCAGGAGAAAAAUAUGGAAGUGGUCUAUGAGCAAGCAGUUUCUAGACUAUAAUCUUACAGAUAUGGUGCUUUGUGAUGAUGAAUAUCCCAAAAGAUCUGCUGAUAUUAAAGCAUAAUUGGAUAACAAUGACCCAGCACAGGGGAUUGCAAGGCUCCUGAUUGAGGAUAUCCAUUAUCCCUGAGGGGCAAUGGUUUAGAAAUUUGAAGCCAUGGGAUUUGGUCAACAUAUGCUAACAUUAGAAGGCCAUAGAAAGAGAUUCACCCUGAAUCCUGCCACUAAUCCUGGACUGUUAGAAUCCUUCUUCCCCAGACACCUGUGUGGGACUUCAAGGCCUCUCCAAGGAGAUAUAACUCAAAAAAGCUCCGGCUGAUAUAAAAAUUACCAGACCCUUAUUGCCCCACCCAUCUCAUUGUAAUGCCCCCUCCCUCACCUUGAGUGACCCGGCCUACUCCUUCCUACCCUCUACUAGGAAAGGUAUGUGGCCCACUCCUCAUCCCACCCCUAUAGGGGCAUUAUAUAUCCCCAAACUACCAGCAAGUGUGUCAUAAGACUCCCUUUCCCCAACCAAUAAGUGGGUCAGCAGCUGUAUUGUAAGACCUCUCCUCUCUACCUGGGGCUAUAAAAACAGGCACAACUACUUGCUCAGGUCAGCUUUCCAUUAUCAGCAGGAAGUCCUUACAUUGCACUAGCAGUGUCUCUUAUCUCAAUAAACUUAAAUUUCUUUUGACCCUGCUAUGAGUC
rnacentral:lncRNA from 1 species